UCUUAUCGUUUUAACAGCUGUGUGCUGUAAACGCAGACCCGUACGUACACCUUAACAUACAGUGCUGACAGUAACAAAUUGAACUUUCAACGCGUAAGGUGAUCGUGAUAUCGUAGGGGCAGUGUCAACCAUGGGUUGCGCCGGAUCAAAACACCAGGAGCCAAAGAAGGAGAAAAAGAAAUCCACUACCGAAAUAGUUACGGACGCGCAAGUUACAAACACAUCAGCGUUGCUAGUGACUAAGGAAACCAAAUUCACACAUCUAGUGCACAGUACAAUAAGCAGUGAAAACUUUCAAGUACAAACUGUAUCGUCAACUUCCAGGUAUGCGAACGUACAACAUAAUAUUCGUCUUACAAAGCUUUUUUCUCUAAUUUACAGCACUCAACCGGUGCAAUGUAACUAUGAUCUAUCAAACAAUGCCUAUGUGCUGGUGUUUCGCAAUGACAAGUUCGACCCCAUGCACAGCAGACAGGUUAGUGCAAAUGAUAUGAAACAAAUAAAAGAGUUUUGCCAGCACUAUCGAUGCGAUAGGCUUGACAUUAACGAAAAUAACACAAUAGCUGAAAUCAACAGUAAAAUGGAAGAAAUUUCCGAGAGAGAUUUCACCACAUACAGCUGCCUGAUCGUUUUCAUCAUGGGCAGUAAAUUUGGAAGUGCAACAAUCUUGGCAAAUGAUGGAGAAUAUUACUCCUUUAAACACUAUGUUCUGGAGUGUUGCACAACUAAUCGUACGCUGGACAUAAAACCCAAACUAUUUAUAAUACUAACUGGUGAACAAGACAAUACAACACCGUCCACCAUAGAAACUAUAAAACCGUGUAUGAGCUUUAAACUCGAUACGAUGAUUUUUGAGAGCUCGUACCAAGGAACUGCUUCAUUUCGAGACAUGAAAAAAGGUAAUUUUUUCAUGCAAUUUUUCCUCCGAUUAGUACACAAGCACAACAGAGAGAGUAUUAUGAAAAUCUACCCCCUGCUCUACCGGGAAUUUUUAAGAAGAUCCAUCCCGCAAACGCCAACGCUCACGACGACCUUGCGCAAGGAUCUAAUAUUAGGCCAUUUGCUCAAGCCCUGUGAGAAUAUGCCCACAAUUCCACACGAACCAUCUAUGUUACGAGAGGUUUACGACUUAUCAAAUGAUGCAUACGUGCUAGUGUUCCAUAACGAUGAAUUCGAAGACAGUGCUUUUAACCGGCCCGGAAGUGCAAAGGACAUGGAAAGAAUACAGCAAGUUUUGCAACAUUACCGUUGCGAUAAGCUUGAUAUCAAUGAAAACAAAUCAAAAGAAUAUGUGCAGCAAAAAAUGGCCGAAAUUUCACAAAAAGACUUCACCCCAUACAGCUGCCUGAUUGUGUUCAUCAUGAGCCACGGAAGUAUAAACGAUACAAUACUGGCUUCCGAUGGGAAGUGGUUUUACUUCCAGGAAGACAUCGUAGACAAAUGCACGUCAAACCGUACCUUUAAUGGUAAACCAAAACUACUUGUACUGCAGGCUUGCCGAGGAAACGAUCGAAUUGUGGUGGAUGCAAUACCCCCUAGGAGCGAUAAAGUAGAUCUGGUUAUUUUCCAAAGCACAUAUCAAGGUAAGAUCAGUUAAGGAUUGUAUAAAUAAUUAAUUUCAACUCAACUUAAUAUAACGGACAAACGUCAUUGCACCGCGAAAGAUCGCUUUAUCUCGGGAGUUUUCUCUAAAUACGAUUGUUUUCGAAUUUCAAAACGAAAUUUAAAACAAGAUAAAAAAAAAUCUUGCUUCGUUUUCCGGACAGAAUUAAAUACGCGUUUUAACGCAAUUCAGAUCACAAUAUGUUGAAACACUGUAUGUAUGUCACGUUGAUAGCUACUUCUAGAAUGAAUUCCGAUGUACUUCAAUGCACGUGGACGCCAUUACUAAAAAUUGUAGACAAAAUGACACUAGCGUUGGUUAUUAGUAAAACUGCUAAGGUGGUGAUGAACUGACCGGUAGAAAAUAUUUAUUUACUGAGGCAUCAAAGCAUACUAGGAGUCAUACACAUUUUUAAUCGAUUCUAAUACAUCAUGGUAAUCAUCUAAAAAUUUAAAAUCAGUAUGGCUAGGGAUAAAAUAUGAAGAAAUGAGUUAAAAACAUGCCAAAUGUCCGGAGUUUGACGUUGUUCGCAAUUUGAAUCAGAACGGUAGUUUAGUUUAAUCCUCAGGUUGUUGCAUGAUAACAAUCACAAAAACAUCAUCAACAUCAACACCCUGCUUAAUCAACAAUUCAGAGAGAGAAAAAUAGCCCAAGCACCCACAAUGACUGCGAGCUUGCGGAAAGACUUGAUAUUUGGUAAUCUUUUACGAUAGCCUUGGAAGUGAUGGAUUCUAUCGUACAUUGUUAUGUAAUACUAUGGAACACAGUCUUUGACAAUGUGCAGCUACGAUAAACAAGACACAGCAUUACUAUUUCAUUUUUCAAUGGAAAACCUGGGUUUAGGUGCCGUAGUAUUUCGUAGACAAUAAUUAAAAGCUUAUUUUAUCAGCAGACUCUCAAGGAAUUAAAACAUUCGUUCGGCAUUGGUAGUUUUAUCGCAUAUUAUUGUCAUUUUGAUUGCCAUUUGGAAUUUAAUACCUCAACAAAUCCAUUAUAAUGAUAUUGUCAUCAAUAAGAGAGUAGACCAGCCCUGUAAUAAGAUAAAAUGCUACAGUGAGCGAAAGGUAAAGUAACAUCUAAAGGAAUUUCUUUUCCUUUGGUUUAUUUGACUACCUAGUGGCUAAACAAAGUUGCUUAUGAUCUAUCAUUAAGAAAAUGAUGGAAAAUAGAGGAAAAAGACCAACAGAUGAAGAGUUGAAAGAGAGUGUCAGUUUGAGCUAGCGAGUGAUCGGAGUCCGGAUUUAAAUGACUCUGAAGAAAUGCAGAGAUCUAACAAGUCGGAGAAUUCGUAAAAUUUACGAAUGCAUACUAAUAUUGCAUACUAAUUUGAGCCGGUCUCGUAGUACAGUCGUCAACUCGUACGACAUAACAACAUGCCCGUCAUGGGUUCAAUCCCCAAAUAGACCGCGCCGCCAUACGUAGGACUGACUAUCCUGCUAUGGGGGGGGGGGGGGGAAACAAUUAGUCACUGAAAGCCAAAGCCCACAAGUUUGGUACAGGCAGGCCUUGACCGACAUCGUUUGUUGAGCCAAAGAAGAAGAAGAAGACUAAUAACGGAUCGCUCAUACCGAAUUGCGUUCCUCGUCUGGGCAGGGAGUGGGGAUAGUAGAGGCCGAUUUCGCAACAAACAGGAAGGAACAUAAAAGUUAAUAGAGCAAAUAAGGGGCUUCGACUUGGAAAAGAAAGAUAGAGACAAUGAAAAAGGACUGCGCGUGGUUUCUACAAACUUUGAGAGUCUCAAACCCGAGGAAGCAAAGGAGAACAGGAUAAAGAGGGAGUUCGUAGGAAGGACCGUCGAUUUUAGAGCAAAACUCAAACGCUUUUUGCGCCGACGUCAAAACGUUUAGAGGCGCAAUCGUCGACUCGGACCUGAUUAUGGUAAAGCUGCAUCAGAAGGCUGACCUAACGGAGUCAGCCGUUCCCAAUGCUUAAUCUGGACCAGCUACAGCGUGCUGAUGUGACGGAGUGAACAGCACACAGGACGCGCUUCUAGCCAAGAACAACAUUGCCGCGAUGCCCCUCGCAGAUCACUGACGAAUGUUGACACGAGACAUGAGCAUCGCAGCCGACCUAAAGAUCGACUGCUUACCAUGUAGAGAGCAAAAUGAAUAGUUCAACGAAGAGUGCUUGAACACUUCUCACGCUCAUUUCUGCGAUAUGCUUGCAAAUAUUUGCAAUAUGCUCCACUAUGUUAAAUAAAUAGGACUGCAAUACGAAAUCAUCGUAAAAUCAACGGCACAUAGCGCCCUAAAAUCUUGUACAUUUCACAUGAUAGCUGCAUUCCAAACCGAAGCGCAUCUUAUUAGCAGAUGAUAGCCAAUUCACAACAUUACUUCUGUCUGGAUACAUGAAAACAUACUUUGAAUAAAAAAAAAGGUUU